rnacentral:tRNA from 1 species
GGUUAUGGCUCAGUGGUAGAGUGCUUGCCUAGAAUGUGUGAGGCACUGGGUUCAAUUCUCAGCACCA